CACGUAGGGUGCGAGCGUUGUCCGGAUUUACUGGGCGUAAAGAGCGCGCAGGCGGCUGGUCAAGUCCGAUGUGAAAGCUCCCGGCUUAACUGGGAAACGGCAUCGGAAACUGAUCGGCUUGAAGGUGGGAGAGGGUAGUGGAAUUCCCGGUGUAGUGGUGAAAUGCGUAGAUAUCGGGAGGAACACCAGUGGCGAAGGCGACUACCUGGCCCACUCUUGACGCUGAGGCGCGAAAGCUAGGGGAGCAAACGGG
rnacentral:rRNA from 1 species